GACGAACGCUGGCGGCGUGCUUAACACAUGCAAGUCGAACGGAAAGGCCCUGCUUUUGUGGGGUGCUCGAGUGGCGAACGGGUGAGUAACACGUGAGUAACCUGCCCUUGACUUUGGGAUAACUUCAGGAAACUGGGGCUAAUACCGGAUAGGAGCUCCUGCUGCAUGGUGGUGGUUGGAAAGUUUCGGCGGGUGGGGAUGGACUCGCGGCUUAUCAGCUUGUUGGUGGGGUAGUGGCUUACCAAGGCUUUGACGGGUAGCCGGCCUGAGGGGGUGACCGGCAAAAUUGGGACUGGGAUACGGCCAAGACUCCUACGGGAGGAAGCAGUGGGGAAUAUUGCAAAAUGGGCGGAAGCCGGAUGCAGCAACGCCGGGUGCGGGAUGACGGCCUUCGGGUUGUAAACCGCUUUCGCCGGUGACGAAGCGUGAGUGACGGUAAUGGGUAAAGAAGCACCGGCUAACUACGUG
rnacentral:rRNA from 1 species